rnacentral:tRNA from 1 species
GGGGUUGUGGCUCAGUGGUACAGUGCUCACCUAGCACAUGUGAGGCACUGAGUUCAAACCUCAGCACCACA